AUCCACCGGUCGAACCAAGGAUUCUCACUGAGGAAGAUCCAUUAACCUUUCCCUGGGGCGAUGGCUGGCUGUGGCUGGAAGGUGGACGGUUUCUCUGCGAUACCAGUGUCUCCUGAAGAGUGUUCGUCGCCUUGCCAGAUAAGCAGCUAAAGUAACAACGAUCUGUAACAACCAACGCGCCUGAUCUGCUUUUCUGUUCUAAGAAUGAUGAUGUUCUAAGAAUGACAGGAAGAUGUGAAACAUUACAACCAGUCAAUGAACACGAAGCAUUCAUUACUAAGUACGUAGCCAAUGUUUGUUUGUCAGUUUGCACUCAUCCACACGAAGAAUUUUUUUUUUUGUAAGUAGCCAUGGUUUCCUAAUAUUAGUCUCCCAGUCAUCCUUGAAAAGAAAACGAAUCAGGUCUGAAAAGAAAACUAUCUCAAUGGUAAACUUAAGAAUUUCUUUUCUAAUCAUACGCGAUUGCUGUUACUGUACGUUGCCUUCCCCUGUCAUUUGACAGGACUUUGUCCUGUAAAGAAAAAAAAAAAAAAACGCAUAAGGAUGGUGUCAGGCACUGUCCUCCUCCGCCCACAAAUACAAGGCAGAGAGGCUUGUCGCCGUCUUCACGGAGCGAGGGUCCAGUGACGAGCUUCAUAUUAUUAGCAGAAAAUGCGAGAAUCUGGGACUUGACAUUUCGGCCGGGACAGAAGAGGGCGCGAGGACCACAGAUCCACCUUGCUGCAGACAUGCAGCACACCCAUCCAUCAGGUUGCCACUGUAGGGCUGCACAAUGACUCCAGGUCUUCUAGCAGCUGCAGUAUCACUGCCUAACUGACCACGCCACAAUUUUUCACCGCAGCUGCAGCUGUGACGACUGUGACAAAUCCAGUGUUUAUUUUUUAUUGUAAAUAGUUUUUUUUCUUCAUGCACUGCUGCUUACCGUGAUACUACCGUGUCAAUCAUUUAUUGUUCUGUUUAAAAUUGUGCGUCAAAAAUUGUAUAUGUAAUACAAGUAAAUUUUUACUAAUUCA